rnacentral:rRNA from 1 species
ACUCUACUACGGGAGGCAGCAGUAGGGAAUCUUCCACAAUGGACGCAAGUCUGAUGGAGCAACGCCGCGUGAGUGAAGAAGGCUUUCGGGUCGUAAAACUCUGUUGUUGGAGAAGAAUGGUCGGCAGAGUAACUGUUGUCGGCGUGACGGUAUCCAACCAGAAAGCCACGGCUAACUACGUGCCAGCAGCCGCGGUAAUACGUAGGUGGCAAGCGUUAUCCGGAUUUAUUGGGCGUAAAGCGAGCGCAGGCGGUUUUUUAAGUCUGAUGUGAAAGCCCUCGGCUUAACCGAGGAAGCGCAUCGGAAACUGGGAAACUUGAGUGCAGAAGAGGACAGUGGAACUCCAUGUGUAGCGGUGAAAUGCGUAGAUAUAUGGAAGAACACCAGUGGCGAAGGCGGCUGUCUGGUCUGUAACUGACGCUGAGGCUCGAAAGCAUGGGUAGCGAACAGGAUUAGAUACCCUGGUAGUCCAUGCCGUAAACGAUGAAUGCUAGGUGUUGGAGGGUUUCCGCCCUUCAGUGCCGCAGCUAACGCAUUAAGCAUUCCGCCUGGGGAGUACGACCGCAAGGUUGAAACUCAAAGGAAUUGACGGGGGCCCGCACAAGCGGUGGAGCAUGUGGUUUAAUUCGAAGCAACGCGAAGAACCUUACCAGGUCUUGACAUCUUUUGAUCACCUGAGAGAUCAGGUUUCCCCUUCGGGGGCAAAAUGACAGGUGGUGCAUGGUUGUCGUCAGCUCGUGUCGUGAGAUGUUGGGUUAAGUCCCGCAACGAGCGCAACCCUUAUGACUAGUUGCCAGCAUUUAGUUGGGCACUCUAGUAAGACUGCCGGUGACAAACCGGAGGAAGGUGGGGAUGACGUCAAAUCAUCAUGCCCCUUAUGACCUGGGCUACACACGUGCUACAAUGGAUGGUACAACGAGUUGCGAGACCGCGAGGUCAAGCUAAUCUCUUAAAGCCAUUCUCAGUUCGGACUGUAGGCUGCAACUCGCCUACACGAAGUCGGAAUCGCUAGUAAUCGCGGAUCAGCACGCCGCGGUGAAUACGUUCCCGGGCCUUGUACACACCGCCCGUCACAC